rnacentral:rRNA from 1 species
GGGUUGUGAGGUUAAGCGACUAAGCGUACACGGUGGAUGCCCUGGCAGUCAGAGGCGAUGAAGGACGUGCUAAUCUGCGAUAAGCGCCGGUAAGGUGAUAUGAACCGUUAUAACCGGCGAUUUCCGAAUGGGGAAACCCAGUGUGACUCGUCACACUAUCAUUAACUGAAUCCAUAGGUUAAUGAGGCGAACCGGGGGAACUGAAACAUCUAAGUACCCCGAGGAAAAGAAAUCAACCGAGAUUCCCCCAGUAGCGGCGAGCGAACGGGGAGGAGCCCAGAGCCUGAAUCAGCAUGUGUGUUAGUGGAAGCGUCUGGAAAGGCGCGCGAUACAGGGUGACAGCCCCGUACACAAAAGCGCAUGUGCUGUGAGCUCGAUGAGUAGGGCGGGACACGUGGUAUCCUGUCUGAAUAUGGGGGGACCAUCCUCCAAGGCUAAAUACUCCUGACUGACCGAUAGUGAACCAGUACCGUGAGGGAAAGGCGAAAAGAACCCCGGCGAGGGGAGUGAAAAAGAACCUGAAAC